rnacentral:rRNA from 1 species
CUCUGUGACUCCUACGGGAGCAGCAGUGGGGAAUAUUGCACAAUGGGGGAAACCCUGAUGCAGCCAUGCCGCGUGUGUGAAGAAGGCCUUCGGGUUGUAAAGCACUUUCAGUAGGGAGGAAGGUAGUGUAGUUAACACCUGCAUUAUUUGACGUUACCUACAGAAGAAGCACCGGCUAACUCCGUGCCAGCAGCCGCGGUAAUACGGAGGGUGCGAGCGUUGUUCGGAAUCACUGGGCGUAAAGCGCACGUAGGCGGAUUGAUAAGUUAGGGGUUGGAAAUACCCGGGGCCGUCAACCUCGGAACUGCCUUUGUAUACUGUCAGUCUUGAGUCCGAGAGAGGUGAGUGGAACUCCGAGUGUAGAGGUGAAAUUACGUUAGAUAUUCGGAAGAACACCAGUGGCGAAGGCGGCUCACUGGCUCGGUACUGACGCUGAGGUGCGAAAGACGUGGGGAGCAAACAGGAGUUAGAUACCCUGGUAG